rnacentral:rRNA from 1 species
GAUGAACGCUGGCGGCGUGCCUAAUACAUGCAAGUCGAGCGAAGCGGGGACGGGUGAGUAACACGUGGAUAACCUCCUAUAAGACUGGGAUAACUUCGGGAAACCGGAGCUAAACCGGAUACUUAUAGAUGGAUCCGCGCUGCAUUAGCUAGUUGGUAAGGUAACGGCUUACCAAGGCAACGAUGCAUAGCCGACCGGAGAGGGUGAUGGGCAACACUGGAACUGAGACACGGCCCAGAUUCCGCCGGGAGGCAGCAGUGGGUAAGUUGCCAAAAUGGGCGAAAGCUUGACGGAGCAACGCCGAGGGAGGGAUGAAGGUCUUGGGACCGUAAAACUUGUUUAUGAGGGAAGCGGUACCGAAUAAAAAAGCCACGGCUAACUCCGUGCCAGCAGCCGCGGUAAUAC